AGUGAACGCUGGCGGUAGGCCUAACACAUGCAAGUCGAACGGCAGCACAGUAAGAGCUUGCUCUUACGGGUGGCGAGUGGCGGACGGGUGAGGAAUACAUCGGAAUCUACUUUUUCGUGGGGGAUAACGUAGGGAAACUUACGCUAAUACCGCAUACGACCUACGGUUGAAAGCAGGGGAUCUUCGGACCUUGCGCGAUUGAAUGAGCCGAUGUCGGAGUAGCUAGUUGGCGGGGUAAAGGCCCACCAAGGCGACGAUCCGUAGCUGGUCUGAGAGGAUGAUCAGCCACACUGGAACUGAGACACGGUCCAGACUACUACGGGAGGCAGCAGUGGGGAAUAUUGGACAAUGGGCGCAAGCCUGAUCCAGCCAUACCGCGUGGGUGAAGAAGGCCUUCGGGUUGUAAAGCCCUUUUGUUGGGAAAGAAAAGCAGCAGGUUAAUACCCCGCUGUUCUGACGGUACCCAAAGAAUAAGCACCGGCUAACUUCGUG
rnacentral:rRNA from 1 species